UACGAAGGGGGCUAGCGUUGCUCGGAAUCACUGGGCGUAAAGCGCACGUAGGCGGAUUGCUAAGUCAGGGGUGAAAUCCUGGAGCUCAACUCCAGAACUGCCUUUGAUACUGGCGAUCUCGAGUUCCGGGAGAGGUGAGUGGAACUGCGAGUGUAGAGGUGAAAUUCGUAGAUAUUCGCAAGAACACCAGUGGCGAAGGCGGCUCACU
rnacentral:rRNA from 1 species